rnacentral:rRNA from 1 species
GACGAACGCUGGCGGCGUGCUUAACACAUGCAAGUCGAACGGAAAGGCCCUGCUUUUUUGGUCUUCUCGAGUGGCGAACGGGUGAGUAACACGUGAGUAACCUGCCCUUGACUUUGGGAUAACUUCAGGAAACUGUGGCUAAUACCGUAUAGGAUCUCCUGCUGCAUGGUGGGGGUUGGAUAGUUUCGGCGGUUGGGGUUGGACUGGCGGCUUAUCAGCUUGUUGGUGGGGUAGUGGCUUACCAAGGCUUUGACGGGUAGCCGGCAUGAGAGGGUGAACGGCCACAUGGGGACUGAGAGACGGAGCAGACUCCAACGGGAGGCAGCAGUGGGGAAUAUGGCACAAUGGGAGGAAGCCUGAUGCAGAAACGCCGCGUGCGGGAUGACGGCCUUCGGGUUGAAAACAGCUUUAGCCUGUGACGAAGCGUGAGUGACGGUAAUGGGUAAAGAAGCACCGGCUAACUACGUG